rnacentral:rRNA from 1 species
GACGAACGCUGGCGGCGUGCUUAACACAUGCAAGUCGAACGAAGUGGCGAACGGGUGAGUAACGCGUAAUCAACCUGCCCUUCAGAGGGGGACAACAGUUGGAAACGACUGCUAAUACCGCAUACUGAAGGAGGGGAUUGCGUCUGAUUAGCUAGUUGGAGGGGUAACGGCCCACCAAGGCGAUGAUCAGUAGGCGGGCUGGGAGGAUGGACGGCCACAUUGGGACUGGGGAACGGCCCAGACUUCUAAGGGAGGCAGCAAGUGGGAAACUUCCGCAAUGGACGAAAGGCUGACGGAGCAACUGCGCGGGAGUGAUGACGGCCUUCGGGUUGUAAAGGUCUGUUAAUCGGGACGCGGUACCGGAAUAGAAAGCCACGGCUAACUACGUGCCAGCAGCCGCGGUAAUAC